GACUGAAGCAGAGGGUGCUGUUUCAACGCCACCACCAGGAGAGAGGCAGAGGGGCUGUGCUGUGCUAGAGUCCUCAGGGAGGGAGUGACCUCGACCCUGGCUGUGCUGCAAGCUGACUCCAGCCUUGGGGUCAGCAGCAGCAGGGUACCCGAACAUGGCAGAGGGGGCAUAGCUCGGUUUCCCACACCUCACUUUUCACAGCCUCCAAGGGCAGCAGUGCACGUGGAGGAGACGUCUCCCACAAGGCCAAGGCCUCUAGUGCUCACCGAUGCCCUCUGUGAAGUUGGGGUAGAACUCGUCAGUGAAGAGGGGCCUGGGCAGCUCACAGAAGUAUAGCUUCAGCGUGCCUGCAAUGGCGUUCACGUCCAUCUCACUCAUCAUCACCGACACGUCCUUGUUAUCUGGAAAGAGCACAGAAAUGCAGCAGCCUCCUUGAGGAUCCUGAUAAAUGAAGAAAAGACACACAGAAGGAUGUGACAUGCCUGG